CAAUAGCGUAUAUUAAAGUUGUUGCGGUUAAAAAGCUCGUAGUUGGAUUUCUGCUGAGAACGACCGGUCCGCCCUUUGGGUGUGUAUCUGGCUCUUUCUUGGCAUCUUCUUGGUGAACGUUGCUGCACUUGACUGUGUGGAGCGCUACCCAGGACUUUUACUUUGAGGAAAUUAGAGUGUUUCAAGCAGGCAUACGCCUUGAAUACAUUAGCAUGGAAUAAUAAGAUAGGACCUCGGUUCUAUUUUGUUGGUUUCUAGAGCUGAGGUAAUGAUUAAUAGGGAUAGUUGGGGGCAUUCGUAUUUAACUGUCAGAGGUGAAAUUCUUGGAUUUGUUAAAGACGAACUAGUGCGAAAGCAUUUGCCAAGGAUGUUUUCAUUGA
rnacentral:rRNA from 1 species